UUGACGCGGAAUGACGCGUACUCUUUCAGAACUUGUAAACAGAGUUCUAAAAGUAAAUAAAAAUACAAAUUAUCGAAAAUUGGUUUACAAAAACUAUCAAUUUAGAUAAUUUUAUAUUUUAUCUAUAAAUCAUGUGUGAAGGACCAAUUUCUGAGGUGUAAAAGGCACAGGGUGAUCCCCAGGUGGCUGACGGACGGUCUCUAAUCGUGGGCAGGCGGAAAACAAGCGCGAUGAGUUGCCAGUUUUGCGGGUGUGUAUGUCUCAGAUGAUCUACCUGUUAUUUAAAAGAGUACAAGACUACAUGAGAAACAAAGAUGAACGAGAGAAUUCACCAUGGCAUCAACAGGGGGUAUUCUUGUGAAUGAGCUGCAUCUUGACUUGUAUGGUCUUCGGCGAUGUUAUUGGGAAUAAAACGAAGUGAGAAUGUAAAAAAUAAAUAAAGGAUAAGUUGAAAAAAGCAUUUUCAUCGUGUGGAUCACGGCGCCAAACGCAAGAUUUAGAAAUAAUUAAUGUAAAUUACACACGGUUGUGCUACUGGUUAUGCAAAUCAAGCUGGAGUCUUAACAUUUGUGUACUGGUUGUCAUAUAGGCUUUGGAACGAGGUUGAGGAAGAAACGUUGAUCUUUACGUUGUCAAGUAGGAGAAGAAAGUGUACGUAUUACACACAUAUGUGACGAGAGUAGAGAUGCCCGAGGCAAUCUUACAAUAUAAACGCAUUCCAACAUGGCAGAAUAAGCGUGCGGAAUUAUACUGAGUAUAAUGUUGGCUGUUCUUCCAUCCCUCUACGCUGAUACAUCCACGAUUUUUACCUUUGUGGUACAUAUAAUAGUCAGUACUACUAGUCAGCAAGAAAAAAUCUCAACUAUACACAGAUGCAUAAUAUUACACAUAACAUUAUGAAGAAUCAAAACUGGGCCGCGUAUUAUAAUUGUGCUCAUCCUACUAGAAGUCGGUUCGUGAAGGGGACAAAUUGGAGUCAAAAGGUGAUUAUUGUCUACAAUAUGGAACAGAAAGCAAGAGUAGCCCCCAAUAGGACACGCCAGUGUAUUUUGCAGCACAGCGACGAGACAUUGUAGACAUGGUUAAGAAACGACGCGAAUAUAAGGAGAGAAAAGGAGAAAGAAUCUAGAGAGCGCGGGAAGGUGUA